rnacentral:rRNA from 1 species
GACGUAGGGGGCGAGCGUUGUCCGGAUUUAUUGGGCGCAAAGCGCGCGUAGGCGGUCCGUUAAGUCGGAUGUGAAAAUCCGGGGCUCAACCCCGGACCUGCAUCCGAUACUGGCGGGCUGGAGGCAGGUAGGGGAGAUCGGAAUUCCUGGUGUAGCGGUGAAAUGCGCAGAUAUCAGGAGGAACACCAGUGGCGAAGGCGACUACCUGGCCUGUUCUUGACGCUGAGGCGCGAAAGCUAGGGGGGCAAACGGG